CCUACGGGUGGCAGCAGUGGGGAAUAUUGGGCAAUGGGCGCAAGCCUGACCCAGCAACGCCGCGUGAAGGAAGAAGGCUUUCGGGUUGUAAACUUCUUUUCUGAGGGACGAAGAAAGUGACGGUACCUCAGGAAUAAGCCACGGCUAAAUACGUCCCAGCCGCCGCGGUAAUACGUAGGUGGCAAGCGUUAUCCGGAUUUAUUGGGUGUAAAGGGCGUGUAGGCGGGAAAGCAAGUGAGAUGUGAAAACUCAGGGCUCAACCCUGAGCCUGCACUUGAAACUGUUUUUCUUGAGUGCUGGAGAGGCAAGCGGAAUUCCGGGUGUAGCGGUGAAAUGCGUAGAUAUACGGAGGAACACCAGUGGCGAAGGCGGAGUGUUGGACAGUAACUGACGCUGAGGCGCGAAAGCGUGGGGAGCAAACAGGAUUAGAUACCCGAGUAGUC
rnacentral:rRNA from 1 species